rnacentral:rRNA from 1 species
AGAGUUUGAUCCUGGCUCAGGAUGAACGCUAGCGACAGGCCUAACACAUGCAAGUCGAGGGGCAGCACAUGAGUAGCAAUACGAUGGUGGCGACCGGCGCACGGGUGAGUAACACGUAUGCAACCUGCCUUCUACUAUGGGAUAACCCGUUGAAAGACGGACUAAUACCGUAUAAUACAGGGGCUCCGCAUGGAGAUAUUUGUUAAAGAUUUAUUGGUAGAAGAUGGGCAUGUGUAUGAUUAGAUAGUUGGUGAGGUAACGGCUCACCAAGUCAACGAUCAUUAGGGGUUCUGAGAGGAAGGUCCCCCACACUGGUACUGAGACACGGACCAGACUCCUACGGGAGGCAGCAGUGAGGAAUAUUGGUCAAUGGACGAGAGUCUGAACCAGCCAAGUCGCGUGAAGGAAGACGGUUCUAUGAAUUGUAAACUUCUUUUGUGCAGGAAUAAAGUGGGUUACGUGUAACCUUUUGUAUGUACUGUACGAAUAAGGAUCGGCUAACUCCGUGCCAGCAGCCGCGGUAAUACGGAGGAUCCGAGCGUUAUCCGGAUUUAUUGGGUUUAAAGGGUGCGUAGGUGGAUUGAUAAGUCAGCGGUGAAAGUUUGCAGCUUAACUGUAAAAUUGCCGUUGAAACUGUCGGUCUUGAGUGCAAAUGA